UGUAAGCGUAUACCAAAGUUGUUGCGGUUAAAACGCUCGUAGUCGGAAUUUGGCAGUUCCGGAUGUGUGCACGUCGUGUGCGCACUUCGCGGGGAUUGCUUUUGUGGUCUUGCGUAGGAUGAGGCACUUUUAUUAGUGAACGUCCUCACGCAACCACUUUUUACUGUGAGAAAAUCAGAGUGCCCAAAGCAGGCAUUUGCCGUGAAUGUAUUAGCAUGGAAUAAUAGAAUAGGACUCGGUUCUAUUUUGUUGGUUUGUUGGGACUGAGUAAUGAUUAAGAGGGACAGUUGGGGGCAUUUGUAUUUCGGCGCUAGAGGUGAAAUUCUUAGAUUGCCGAAAGACAAACUGCUGCGAAAGCGUCUGCCAAGGAUGUUUUCAUUGA
rnacentral:rRNA from 1 species